GUCCUCACUUCGGCAGGACAUAACCUAAGAUUGGAAUGAUACAGAGAAGAUUAGCAUGGCCCCUGCGCAAGGUUGAUACGCACAUUCAUGAAGUGAUCCAUAUUUUU